GUGAACGCUGGCGGUAGGCCUAACACAUGCAAGUCGAACGGCAGCACAGUAAGAGCUUGCUCUUACGGGUGGCGAGUGGCGGACGGGUGAGGAAUACAUCGGAAUCUACUUUUUCGUGGGGGAUAACGUAGGGAAACUUACGCUAAUACCGCAUACGACCUACGGGUGAAAGCAGGGGAUCUUCGGACCUUGCGCGAUUGAAUGAGCCGAUGUCGGAUUAGCUAGUUGGCGGGGUAAAGGCCCACCAAGGCGACGAUCCGUAGCUGGUCUGAGAGGAUGAUCAGCCACACUGGAACUGAGACACGGUCCAGACUCCUACGGGAGGCAGCAGUGGGGAAUAUUGGACAAUGGGCGCAAGCCUGAUCCAGCCAUACCGCGUGGGUGAAGAAGGCCUGCGGGUUGUAAAGCCCUUUUGUUGGGAAAGAAAAGCAGCAGGUUAAUACCCCGCUGUUCUGACGGUACCCAAAGAAUAAGCACCGGCUAACUUCGU
rnacentral:rRNA from 1 species